UCUCCGUUGGUGAACCAGCGGAGGGAUCAUUACCGAGUUUACAACUCCCAAACCCCUGUGAACUUAUACCUUUACUGUUGCUUCGGCGGGUUUUUGCCCCGGGGAAACAGGCGGCCGUCAGGUCCCUGCCCACCCGGAAACAGGCGCCCGCCGGGGGACUCAAACUCUUCUGUAUUUUUUUGUUUACUGUAUACUGUCUGAGUAAAAAUUCAUAAUGAAUCAAAACUUUCAACAACGGAUCUCUUGGUUCUG
rnacentral:misc_RNA from 1 species